rnacentral:rRNA from 1 species
UGCAAGUCGUACGUGAAAGUCCUUCGGGAUGAGUAAAGUGGCGCACGGGUGAGUAACACGUGAGUUAUCUGCCUUUGGGUGGGGAAUACCAACCGGAAACGGUUGUUAAUACCGCAUAAUGCUUGCGCUGUAAUGGCGUAUGUUAAAGCGGGGGAUCAGCAAUGACCUCGCGCCUGAAGAGGAGCUCGCGGCAGAUUAGGUAGUUGGUGAGGUAAUGGCUCACCAAGCCUGCGAUCUGUAACCGGCCUGAGAGGGCGGUCGGUCACACUGACACUGACAUACGGGUCAGACUCCUACGGGAGGCAGCAGUCGGGAAUUUUGGGCAAUGGGCGAAAGCCUGACCCAGCAACGCCGCGUGAAGGAUGAAGCAUUUCGGUGUGUAAACUUCGCAAGAAUAGGAAGAAUAAGUUUGAACAAAUAAUUCAAACGAUGACGGUACUAUUUAUAAGCUCCGGCUAACUUCGUGCCAGCAGCCGCGGUAAUACGAGGGGAGCAAGCGUUGUUCGGAUUUACUGGGCGUAAAGGGUGCGUAGGCGGCACCACAAGUCACUUGUGAAAUCUUUGGGCUUAACCCAAAGCGGCCAAGUGAUACUGUGGAGCUAGAGUGCAGAAGGG